rnacentral:rRNA from 1 species
UACGUAGGGGGCAAGCGUUAUCCGGAUUUACUGGGUGUAAAGGGUGCGUAGGUGGCAGGGCAAGUCAGAUGUGAAAGCCCGGGGCCCAACCCCGGGACUGCUUUGGAAACUGCCAUGCUGGAGUGCUGGAGAGGUAAGCGGAAUUCCUAGUGUAGCGGUGAAAUGCGUAGAUAUUAGGAGGAACACCGGUGGCGAAGGCGGCUUACUGGACGAUGACUGACGCUGAGGCUCGAAAGCGUGGGGAGCAAACAGG